rnacentral:tmRNA from 1 species
GGGGGCGUAAAGGUUUCGACGGGGAUUUUAAGGUAUGGUAAGCGGGUAGAGCCGGGUAAACUCUUUAAACUGCUCAACUUAAAAAUAAACGCUAACGAUAAUUUAGCAUACGCAGCCUAAGGCUGUGACGCAGUCCUGCGGGACUGCCCGUUCCACCCAUGAGUACCGCGGCUUGGGAUGGGGCGUCAUUCAGCGGUGCACGUGCAUUGCCCUUUUGCUUUUGAGGCAGUCAUGAAGAAAAAAGCUACCCGUGACGGUAGAGUGACGGUUCCCGACCGCCAUGGGGAAAUUUAAAUAACCGCCUGCACCUGGAGAAAGCCAUAUCAAGAGAUUUUCGGACAGGGGUUCGACUCCCCUCGCCUCCACCA